CCUANGGGAGGCAGCAGUAGGGAAUUUUGCGCAAUGGACGAAAGUCUGACGCAGCAACGCCGCGUGAGUGAUGAAGGUCUUCGGAUUGUAAAGCUCUGUUGAGUGGGAAGAAAAGUUACAGGUCUAAUAUAUCUGUAGCCUGACGGUACCAUUUGAGGAAGCCCCGGCUAACUACGUGCCAGCAGCCGCGGUAAUACGUAGGGGGCGAGCGUUGUUCGGAAUUACUGGGCGUAAAGGGAGCGUAGGCGGGUCAGUAAGUUAGAAGUUUAAUGCACAGGCUUAACCUGUGACUUGCUUUUAAUACUGCUGAUCUUGAGUAUGGAAGAGGGAGAUGGAAUUCCAGGUGUAGCGGUGGAAUGCGUAGAUAUCUGGAAGAACACCAUUAGCGAAGGCGGUCUCCUGGUCCAAUACUGACGCUGAGGCUCGAAAGCUAGGGGAGCAAACAGGAUUAGAUACCCCGNUAGUC
rnacentral:rRNA from 1 species